rnacentral:rRNA from 5 species
AAAUUGAAGAGUUUGAUCAUGGCUCAGAUUGAACGCUGGCGGCAGGCCUAACACAUGCAAGUCGAACGGUAACAGGAAGCAGCUUGCUGCUUUGCUGACGAGUGGCGGACGGGUGAGUAAUGUCUGGGAAACUGCCUGAUGGAGGGGGAUAACUACUGGAAACGGUGGCUAAUACCGCAUAACGUCGCAAGACCAAAGAGGGGGACCUUCGGGCCUCUUGCCAUCAGAUGUGCCCAGAUGGGAUUAGCUUGUUGGUGAGGUAACGGCUCACCAAGGCGACGAUCCCUAGCUGGUCUGAGAGGAUGACCAGCCACACUGGAACUGAGACACGGUCCAGACUCCUACGGGAGGCAGCAGUGGGGAAUAUUGCACAAUGGGCGCAAGCCUGAUGCAGCCAUGCCGCGUGUAUGAAGAAGGCCUUCGGGUUGUAAAGUACUUUCAGCGGGGAGGAAGGUGUUGUGGUUAAUAACCGCAGCAAUUGACGUUACCCGCAGAAGAAGCACCGGCUAACUCCGUGCCAGCAGCCGCGGUAAUACGGAGGGUGCAAGCGUUAAUCGGAAUUACUGGGCGUAAAGCGCACGCAGGCGGUCUGUCAAGUCGGAUGUGAAAUCCCCGGGCUCAACCUGGGAACUGCAUUCGAAACUGGCAGGCUUGAGUCUUGUAGAGGGGGGUAGAAUUCCAGGUGUAGCGGUGAAAUGCGUAGAGAUCUGGAGGAAUACCGGUGGCGAAGGCGGCCCCCUGGACAAAGACUGACGCUCAGGUGCGAAAGCGUGGGGAGCAAACAGGAUUAGAUACCCUGGUAGUCCACGCCGUAAACGAUGUCUACUUGGAGGUUGUGCCCUUGAGGCGUGGCUUCCGGAGCUAACGCGUUAAGUAGACCGCCUGGGGAGUACGGCCGCAAGGUUAAAACUCAAAUGAAUUGACGGGGGCCCGCACAAGCGGUGGAGCAUGUGGUUUAAUUCGAUGCAACGCGAAGAACCUUACCUGGUCUUGACAUCCACAGAAGAAUCCAGAGAUGGAUUUGUGCCUUCGGGAACUGUGAGACAGGUGCUGCAUGGCUGUCGUCAGCUCGUGUUGUGAAAUGUUGGGUUAAGUCCCGCAACGAGCGCAACCCUUAUCCUUUGUUGCCAGCGAUUAGGUCGGGAACUCAAAGGAGACUGCCAGUGAUAAACUGGAGGAAGGUGGGGAUGACGUCAAGUCAUCAUGGCCCUUACGACCAGGGCUACACACGUGCUACAAUGGCGCAUACAAAGAGAAGCGACCUCGCGAGAGCAAGCGGACCUCAUAAAGUGCGUCGUAGUCCGGAUUGGAGUCUGCAACUCGACUCCAUGAAGUCGGAAUCGCUAGUAAUCGUGGAUCAGAAUGCCACGGUGAAUACGUUCCCGGGCCUUGUACACACCGCCCGUCACACCAUGGGAGUGGGUUGCAAAAGAAGUAGGUAGCUUAACCUUCGGGAGGGCGCUUACCACUUUGUGAUUCAUGACUGGGGUGAAGUCGUAACAAGGUAACCGUAGGGGAACCUGCGGUUGGAUCACCUCCUUACCUUAAAGAAGC